AGGGAAGGCAGGGGGGAAGGGAUAGUCAGUCGCAGUCCGUGCUGGUUUGCCGUCGCUGCUGCCACCAUUGUGCUAGCCCCUUGGGUCUCAGCGAGGCCAGGUGACACUCCAGAAUGGGAGACAAGCCAAUUUGGGAGAAGAUUGGAUCCAUCUUCAUUCAACAUUACUACCAGUUAUUUGAUAAUGACAGAACCCAACUAGGCGCAAUUUACAUUGAUGCAUCAUGCCUUACGUGGGAAGGACAGCAAUUCCAGGGGAAAGCUGCCAUUGUGGAGAAGUUGUCUAAACUUCCGUUCCAGAAAAUCCAGCACAGCAUCACCGCGCAGGACCAUCAGCCCACACCAGAUAGUUGCAUCAUCAGCAUGGUUGUGGACCAGCUUAAGGCUGAUGAAGACCCCAUCAUGGGGUUCCACCAGAUGUUCCUAUUAAAAAACAUCAACGAUGCUUGGGUUUGCACCAAUGACAUGUUCAGGCUUGCCCUGCACAACUUCGGCUGACCUCCUCCCAGCCAGGCAUUCAUGCUGUUUUCUCCUCCCUCCUCUUCCCUAUACUAUUCACACUCCUCCAGAUGCUCCAAAUAUACACAAACGAGCAGGGCUGCGGUGGGAGUGGGCACAGUGCGCUGCUGCUACCGAGGUAUUGUGCAUGAUAUUUGGAUGCUAGACUAGUUGCAUCUGACAGGAGAAGUUUGUGUUGUACCAGCGCAUGCCUUGGAGAGACUUAAGUAAUGCAAAAGGUUGUCUUUUUUUUUUUUUUAAUCUACUGACAAGUUGCUCUAGUAACCCAAAGAAGUGAAGGAGAAAGCAGCUGCCUCACCACCCAGAUGUUGAUUUGUUCAGAUGUUCAAUGCCUCAUGAUACAAUAAAACCACAAAAAUUUUCUUAACAGUUU